GAUGAACGCUAGCUACAGGCUUAACACAUGCAAGUCAGGGGCAGCACUAGGUAGUAAUACUGAGGUGGCGACGGCGCACGGGUGCGUAACGCGUAUCCAACUUCCCGAUACUCUUGGAUAGCCUUCCGAAAGGGAGAUUAAUACAAGAUGGUGUUUCAAUUCCGCAUGGGGUUUCCACUAAAGGUUUUCCGGCCGCGGAUGAGGAUGCGUAUGAUUAGGUAGUAGGCGGGGUAACGGCCCACCUAGCCUUCGAUCAUUAGGGGUUCUGAGAGGAAGGUCCCCCACACUGGAACUGAGACACGGUCCAGACUCCUACGGGAGGCAGCAGUGAGGAAUAUUGGUCAAUGGGCGAGAGCCUGAACCAGCCAAGUAGCGUGAAGGAAGACUGCCCUAUGGGUUGUAAACUUCUUUUGUUCGGGAAUAAAGUGCAGUAUGUAUACUGUUUUGUAUGUACCGUUCGAAUAAGCAUCGGCUAAUUCCGUG
rnacentral:rRNA from 1 species